CCGAGCGAGGAUUAUAGUACAUCCGACCUCCAACCCUUUGUGAACACAUCUUGUUGCUUCGGGGGCGACCCUGCCGUUCGCGGCAUUCCCCCCGGAGGUCAUCAAAACACUGCAUUCUUACGUCGGAGUAAAAAGUUAACUUAAUA
rnacentral:misc_RNA from 1 species